UACGAAGGGAGCUAGCGUUGUUCGGAAUCACUGGGCGUAAGGCGCACGCAGGCGGAUUGAUAAGUCAGGGGUGAAAUCCCGGAGCUCAACUUCGGAAUUGCCUUUGAUACUGUCAAUCUCGAGUCCGGGAGAGGUGAGUGGAAUUCCUAGUGUAGAGGUGAAAUUCGUAGAUAUUAGGAAGAACACCAGUGGCGAAGGCGGCUCACUGGCCCGGUACUGACGCUCAUGUGCGAAAGCGUGGGGAGCAAACAGGG
rnacentral:rRNA from 1 species